rnacentral:rRNA from 1 species
UACAGAGGUCUCAAGCGUUGUUCGGAUUCAUUGGGCGUAAAGGGUGCGUAGGUGGCGCGCUAAGUCAGGUGUGAAAUUUCGGAGCUUAACUCCGAAACUGCAUUUGAUACUGGCGUGCUUGAGGACUGGAGAGGAGACUGGAAUUCAUGGUGUAGCAGUGAAAUGCGUAGAGAUCAUGAGGAAGACCAGUGGCGAAGGCGGGUCUCUGGACAGUUCCUGACACUGAGGCAACGAAGGCCAGGGGAGCAAAACGGG